UACGUAGGGUGCAGGCGUUAAUCGGAAUUACUGGGCGUAAAGCGUGCGCAGGCGGUUUGCUAAGACAGGUGUGAAAUCCCCGGGCUUAACCUGGGAACUGCGCUUGUUACUGGCAGGCUUGAGUGUGGCAGAGGGGGGUGGAAUUCCACGUGUAGCAGUGAAAUGCGUAGAGAUGUGGAGGAACACCGAUGGCGAAGGCAGCCCCCUGGGCUAACACUGACGCUCAUGCACGAAAGCGUGGGGAGCAAAUAGG
rnacentral:rRNA from 1 species